rnacentral:rRNA from 1 species
AUACGUAGGGGGCGAGCGUUGUCCGGAAUGAUUGGGCGUAAAGGGCGCGUAGGCGGCCCGGUAAGUCUGGAGUGAAAGUCCUGUUUUUAAGAUGGGAAUUGCUUUGGAUACUGUCGGGCUUGAGUGCAGGAGAGGAAAGUGGAAUUCCCAGUGUAGCGGUGAAAUGCGUAGAGAUUGGGAGGAACACCAGUGGCGAAGGCGGCUUACUGGACUGCAACUGACGCUGAGGCGCGAAAGUGUGGGGAGCAAACAGGAUUAGAUACCCUGGUAGUCCACACUGUAAACGAUGAAUGCUAGGUGUAGGAGGUAUCGACCCCUUCUGUGCCGCAGUAAACACAGUAAGCAUUCCGCCUGGGGAGUACGGUCGCAAGAUUAAAACUCAAAGGAAUUGACGGGG